rnacentral:rRNA from 1 species
GACAGAGGGGGCAAGCGUUGCUCGGAAUCACUGGGCGUAAAGGGCGCGUAGGCGGGAUGGCAAGUCGGUCGUGAAAUCCCUGGGCUCAACUCAGGGGGGUCGGCCGAUACUGCCGUUCUUGAGGGAUGCAGAGGAGACUGGAAUUCCCGGUGUAGCGGUGAAAUGUGUAGAGAUCGGGAGGAACACCGGUGGCGAAGGCGGGUCUCUGGGCAUUCCCUGACGCUGAGGCGCGAAAGCGUGGGUAGCGAACAGG